CGCGUAUCCACUGGCCUGCUUCUCCCCACAAACCGUCACGUCACACACGGGCUGCCCCACACCUCACACUCGGAGCAGUACGCAGGGCACGUAUGACAAGUCACGUCCCACAGCCACAAAAACUCACAGACGAGGGUCCGGUCCUAGGCCGCCUGACGAGGCCAAAGUUGAGGGGUCGAAAGGCCGGGCUGCAGGCAUAACUGGAGCCAAGUACCGAACUACACAUCCCAGAAGCCACUGCUGCCGGAGUCCAAUCACAGCCCGGAUCCGUCUUCCCAGCAUCCCUUGGGCGACCGGCCCUUUAGAAUGGGCGGGCCGUGGCUCCUUCGCCUCUGGACCAUAUUUCCCAGAAGGGACUGCGGGUCCCUGUGGGUCUGGCGCCUCCGGGUUCCUCAGGCUGGGCCGGAGACUGAGCUCCAGGCGUCCGGGGCGGGACCCAUGCGGCGUCUCUGCGCCAUCUUGCGUCAGAGCGAUUGUCGCGUGUGAGGGCGAGCGGGAGGCCCUUCCGGUCCGCAGCGCGGGAGCUCCUUGGCCAACACGGUACCGAGGGCAGUACGGGAACUUGGACCACACCAGGUAAUCAAAGGAUGUGACUUAGGCUGGGCUCUGUAUCACAGUAUCAGCGUGACCUCCAGAGGGGCUGGAGACUGAGGAGAGCCACAUGAGGAACCCAUCAUGUCGACGUGACGGAGCCCAAUAAAGAAUGACACCAGGGGUCGGGGGCUUCCCUGGCAGGCGAUACUCUGUGCAUACUGUCACACAUGGCUGGGGAGGUGUUUAUGCUGUCCAUGACUCCAACACGGGAAUGGAAGCUCUGCAUCUAGAACCCUCCUGGACUCUGCCCCAUGCUGGCUGAUUGUAAUGUACAUCUUUUCACUGUAAUAAACCAUAACCACAAAUAUAAAAGUUUUUUGUGUGUGUGUACGAGGAAGAUUGGCCCUGAGCUAACAUCUGUGCUAAUCUUCCUCUAUUUUGUAUGUGGGAUGCCGCCAUAGCGUGGCUUGAUGAGCAGUGCUAGGUCCGUGCCCAGAAUCCAAACCUGCAAACCCCAGGCCACCAAAGCAGAGAGCAUGAACUUAACUACUAUGCUACCCAGCUGGCCCCAGUAUAAAAGUUUUUAGUAAGUUCUGUGAGUCCUUCUAGUGAGUUAUUGAACCUGAGGGUGAUCUUUG
rnacentral:lncRNA from 1 species